GAGGGUAUAGCUCAAGUGGUAGAGUGCAUGCUUAGCAUGCACGAGAUCCUGGGUUCAAUCUCCAGUAUCUCUU
rnacentral:tRNA from 1 species